AUAAUUACCUGGCAGGGGAGAUACCAUGAUCACAAAGGUCAUUUUUCCCAGGACGAGGCUUAACCAUUGCACUCCUGAUGUGUACUGAUCCCUGUGAUUUUCACAAACGUGAGAAACUCAACCGUAUAAUUGGUGGUAGUGGGGGAACUGUGUUUGUGCUUUCCCUUA
rnacentral:snRNA from 1 species